rnacentral:tRNA from 1 species
GCCAUGGUGGCGAAACUGGCAGACGCACCAGCUUUAGGAGCUGGCGGGGACCAUCCCCUUGAGAGUUCGAAUCUCUCCCAUGGCA